AGAGUUUGAUCCUGGCUCAGAUUGAACGCUGGCGGCAUGCCUUACACAUGCAAGUCGAACGGUAACAGGUCUUCGGAUGCUGACGAGUGGCGAACGGGUGAGUAAUACAUCGGAACGUGCCCGAUCGUGGGGGAUAACGGAGCGAAAGCUUUGCUAAUACCGCAUACGAUCUACGGAUGAAAGCAGGGGACCGCAAGGCCUUGCGCGGACGGAGCGGCCGAUGGCAGAUUAGGUAGUUGGUGGGAUAAAAGCUUACCAAGCCGACGAUCUGUAGCUGGUCUGAGAGGACGACCAGCCACACUGGGACUGAGACACGGCCCAGACUCCUACGGGAGGCAGCAGUGGGGAAUUUUGGACAAUGGGCGCAAGCCUGAUCCAGCCAUGCCGCGUGCAGGAUGAAGGCCUUCGGGUUGUAAACUGCUUUUGUACGGAACGAAAAGACUCUUUCUAAUAAAGAGGGUCCAUGACGGUACCGUAAGAAUAAGCACCGGCUAACUACGUGCCAGCAGCCGCGGUAAU
rnacentral:rRNA from 1 species